UUGAACUCCACGAUUGGCGGUCUGGAAAUCUGGGGCGGGGCCUGAGGGGCAGCACGCUCAGGAUUGGCGACUGCGCAGACGGGGUGGGCCGGCCCCUUUGUCUGAGGGUGCUGCGCGGCCGCCCUUCGGCGGGAGGCUGCGACAGACGGUGAGCUGGAGGUACGUGACCUGUGUAUGGAAAGACCAUGGUGACAUUUGCUGGAGCAUUGACAUUGAAUCUGUGCCCUUGCCUACGUCAGUCUCUGUAGGGCACCUGCUGACAGUUUGAGUGCCUUUCUGGCUUGCCUGCAUACUGCCAGGCAGCCUUCCUGAGAAAGAAUGUGAGAAAACUCCAUGUUUCCAUCCUUGCCAGCAGAAGAUAUUCACUCCUUGCUUGUUGCUGUUCCAAAGAGUUUGAAGCCUGUAGAGACCAGAGCUGCAUAUUCACUGAAGAUCAAAUUCUUAUGUAGACAAGGAUGGGAGGAUCACCCAGCCAAGGCAGAUAAUAAUGCCCGCCAUUUCACUGUGGAAGAGCCCUGGUGUCGUGUGCUUACUGAACCAGGUGCAUGAGAAGAAGGAUUGUAUUCUUCUACCACACUUUCUGGGUGUGAUCUCCUUUUGGUUACAGGCUGGAUUCUGUGUCACUGUGCAGACUCCUCCUUGAUGAUCCAGAAGACUGAACCUCAUCCUCUACAGGACUAGCGUGUCAGAAGAUCUCAUAGCCCGUCUCUUUUUCCCAGUCAUUUGAGUCCAGUAGACCAAAUGAUGGCAGCAGCCGGGCUCCUGCCACUACCAGCGGGACCCCAGGCCAAGGUGACCUUUGAGGAUGUGGCUGUGCUCCUCUCCCAGGACGAGUGGGACUGCUUGGGCCCUGCUCAGAGAGGCCUCUACCGAAAUGUGAUGAUGGAGACUUACGGGAAUGUGGUCUCUCUGGGACUUCCAGGAUCCAAGCCCAAUGUGAUCUCCCAGCUGGAGCGAGGAGAAGAUCCAUGGGUCCUGGAUGGACAGGGGACUGAGGAAAGACAAGGCUUGGGUAAUGACUACUCAGGUGAGUGAUGGGAGUGAAGGUGUGUGGGGCUGCUGUUUUCACUGAAGGCCAGGCUUGUUCAGACUGAACAGCUCAUAAGAGUGGCUGUCAGGGAAGGGGUCUGUCAAGCCUCACCUGGCAGAGGAGUCCACAGUCCAGAAGGUGCUUAGCCAGGCAGCAUUCCAUGGCAGGAAAUAGGUAUAACAAUGACACUAGAUGGGGUGGUAGAACUGGGUGCAAAGGAGAAUGGACAGGAGGGCUGAAUCUAGUAGAAGCAAUAUUAGGCCACAGACAGAUUUUUGUCGCUGCCCAGAGAGACAGAAACUGAUUAGCCAGUUUCCAAAGGGAUAUUCAGGUUGUGGGGGUUACCCAAUUGGUUUAGAAAAGAACAAAGCAUCCUACGUGUAAAAGGGAAGUUUCUCAACCUGGUAUUCAUGGCGAAGGACUGAAAGCUUGCUGUUUGAGCUUAGGAGUCCACAGUCCCUUCAUCCAUACAGUAUUAUACUCUGGUCCCAUGUGUGAAAUAAGGCAAAAUAAAAACCACAAAGCUAAAACUGCAAAGCAUAUAUAUAUGGAAGGGGGAAAGAAAACAAUUGUUCAAUGUUCCUGUGAUUGUCAAUUUAAAAAAAGAUACAUUAGAAGCCAUAAGAGAAUUUUGCAGUGUUUCUGGAUACAGAAUUAUUUGUGUUUCUGCUUAGUAAUAAACAAAAUUGUACUUUUUAAGAUAACAGAAAUAUGAAGUGUCCAAAUUAAUCCAACCAAAGAUGUAUAAGACCUUUAUGGACAAAAUCAUAAAAGAGAGGAUGGUAUUAUGUAGCUAGGUCCAACCAUUAAGGCUGUGUUCACAGCUGAAUUAGUUGAAUAACCUCUGACUACAGUAUCAACAGAGUCUUGAGAAAACCUCAGCCAGCCUGCCCUCCUAGGAUAAGUUGGGAGGGGUGGCAUAGUCAACAGUCCACAGGCUGAUUGGCAUCAGCAUCUCGGUGUAGCUGUUUUCCCUGAGAACUGGUCCUUGUUUCUAGAGAUGGUAUGGACAGGACCCCAGGUAUUACAGAUGACCUGCCUCUUAUUGACCUGCAAAAUGAGUUGUCCUUAGAGGAACAGCAGAUGUGCUAGCUUCCAAGGAGUUUUAUAUUCCAGUGAAAGUAAGCAAGAGAAUACAUUAUGUUGUGGAAAACUUACACAAAACUUUUCUUUCUUUCUCUUUUUUUUUGAAAUGGGGUCUUGCUGUGUUUCCUAGGCUGGCCUGAAUAUCCUGGGCACAAGUGAUCCUCCUGCCUCAGCCUCAUGAGUAGCUGGACGUGCAUGAUUGUAUCCCACUUUACAUUGUACUUAAAACUGCUGACUGUAGGCAUAGGAGGCAAGAAAACACAGAGGGCAUUUGCUGCUACUGCCAAAUCAGACCCUUUCUCCAUGGAGGCAGAUGUGUUCCUGCUUGGUAGGGAUUUGAGUGCCUUUGAGUUUUAUGCUGAAGAGACUGAGAUUUUCCAGGAGCACCUGAUCACUCUGUCUCUGUCACAGUGGAAAACCACAGUGGAAGACGGCACCAAACAACCUCAAAUGUGAACAUACUGCAACCUGUAUGAAAAAGGACAGUUUUUCUUGUCUGUGGGGUAAGUAUAUGCUUGGCCUUUUUAAUUAAGUACAGUCCCUAAAGGUGUUGGUGCUCCUGUCACCCAAACAACAUUAUGAGUUUCUCCAGGGUGUGUUAAAGCUAGUUGUACAGCUCACACACACAAACCCCAUAAAACACUAAGGAGGUUUUUCCUAACUAAAAAUCUAUUUCAGUGAAAACACUUUUUCCCUCUUUAUGUAUUUUGUCAUACUUAAAACAUACUUCUCUACUUAAAGCUACAACUAAAAGCAUCAUUCUAAAAGCAAGUGGCAGUUUGCUUAAUGCAAGACACAGGGAAGGUGCACCUGUCACUGGCCUUCACAGCAGCUUGAGUCUGUCACACAAACAUCAUAUGAUGCUUUAUGUCAUGAAUGAUUGAGUAGCCAUCUGUUUAAUUAGCUUAUUUUUUUAUUAUUAAAAUCAUCUUGUUACUCUGGCAUCAGGUCAGAAGCCAUCCUUUCAGGAAACUCCAAAUGAUAGAAAUGAUACCUUUCAAUGCAAAUGACUAGUUCUUUCCUUGGCCUAUAGGCUUUUUUCUGUGAAGAUGGGGCUUAUGAAUUAAAAAACUAAAACCAGCCUAUUGGUUUUAAAAAAUGCAUGGUAUAACUUUUGUUUAUUUAUUUUUUGUGAUACUGAGGGUUUGA